AGUUUGAUCCUGGCUCAGAUUGAACGCUGGCGGCAUGCCUUACACAUGCAAGACGAACGGCAGCACGGGAGCAAUCCUGGUGGCGAGUGGCGAACGGGUGAGUAAUAUAUCGGAACGUGCCCAGUCGUGGGGGAUAACGCAGCGAAAGCUGUGCUAAUACCGCAUACGAUCUCUGGAUGAAAGCGGGGGACUCGUAAGAGCCUCGCGCGAUUGGAGCGGCCGAUAUCAGAUUAGCUAGUUGGUGGGGUAAAGGCCCACCAAGGCGACGAUCUGUAGCUGGUCUGAGAGGACGACCAGCCACACUGGAACUGAGACACGGUCCAGACUCCUACGGGAGGCAGCAGUGGGGAAUUUUGGACAAUGGGCGCAAGCCUGAUCCAGCAAUGCCGCGUGCAGGAUGAAGGCCUUCGGGUUGUAAACUGCUUUUGUACGGAACGAAAAGGUCUGCCUUAAUACGGUGGGCCCAUGACGGUACCGUAAGAAUAAGCACCGGCUAACUACGUGCCAGCAGCCGCGGUAAUACGUAGGGUGCGAGCGUUAAUCGGAAUUACUGGGCGUAAAGCGUGCGCAGGCGGUUAUAUAAGACAGAUGUGAAAUCCCCGGGCUCAACCUGGGACCUGCAUUUGUGACUGUAUAGCUAGAGUACGGUAGAGGGGGAUGGAAUUCCGCGUGUAGCAGUGAAAUGCGUAG
rnacentral:rRNA from 1 species